AUCUACAGGCGUAUUCCCCUGAAUGCUUUCAAUCUUGUCUAAUCUCAGAAGUUAAGCAGAGUUGAGCCUGGUUACUACUUGGAUGGAAGACUGCCUGGGAAUACUAGGUGUCGGGGGCUU
ensembl:rRNA 5S_rRNA 5S ribosomal RNA